rnacentral:tRNA from 1 species
GGGGUUGUGGCUCAGUGGUAGAGCACUUGCCUAGCCUGUGAGAGGCACUCCAUUCAAUUCUCAGUGCCG